CCAUAUAUUUCUGCUCCAUAUCUCAGUUUGGACCUGCUUAACUGUGCAUGCCGCACACGCCGUGAAUGGGGAUGGGAGCGUGCCUUCACCGAGCACGAGGCCCGCCCGUGCUUCCGGUGGAGAGAUGAGCUCCGUGCACGUAUCCAUGGCGAGCGGGUCGGUGUCAUCCCUCCUGUCGUCGGUGGGCAAGCUGCUCGAUUUCCUCCGGGCCCCUCCGGCGGCGGCGGCCUCGUGCCCUCCGGUCCCUCCCCCGCGCGGCGGGCGGCCCGCCGCCACCGCCGCGGAUCUUCAGUGGCUGGGGCAGCUGCGGCGGCGGAUCCAGGCCGCGCUCGACGACGCCGGGUAACGGGAGGUCCGGGAGAGCUCCGGUAAGGCGUGGGUCGAGGAGCUCAGGGAGCUGACCCGCGAAGCGGAGGACGUCCUCGACGCCUACCGCUACGAGCUGCUGCGGCACCGGGUCCUAGAACGCCAAGCAGCCGCUGCCGCCUCUUUUGUCUCCCGCAAGCGCGAGCGCGACGAUGGGGAGGAAGAUGGUAGCUUCAGUGAGAGAAUCAAGGAGAUAACGCGUGGGUUCGAGAUCUCCACAGAUCGAGCCGGCCUGCAGCUCAGGCCUGAGGAGGAUGGUGUUACCAGUGAGAAAAUGCAGGAGACCGCAUGGUGGACUGAUGAAAUCUCCACAGAUCGAGCCAUCCCGCUGCUCAGGCCAGACGAUGAGGAUGGUGGCAUCAGAGGGAGAAUUGAGGAGCUUACGUGUCCUUUGAGGAAAUAUCCGGAGAUCGAGCUGCCCCACAUCUCAGAUCAGAGGUUGGAGAAAGGAUUUCAGGGAUGGACUCCCAGUGUAGAAUGACUGGCCACCUUCUGAAUGAAUCCCUUGUUUUUGGUAGUAGCGAGGAGAAAGAGCAAAUCGUAAAAUCCUUGUUGUCCUACAGCCAGGGCACCAGAAUUCAGGUUCUGCCAGUUGUUGGAAUGGGGGGUAUUGGCAAGACCACUACGGCACAGAUGGUCUAUAAUGAUGAUCGGGUCCAAAAACGUUUUGAUCUCCUUGGUUGGGUUCAUGUCUCGGAAAUGUUUGAUCUGUGCAGGCUAACAAUUGCGAUUACCGAAUCCUUGACCAGGAAACCAUGUAGAUUCAAGGAGUUAAGUUAUGUUAAGUUCAUGAUAUUCUGAAGGAAAAGGUAAAGGAGAAAGAUGUGUUCCUGGUGCUGGAUGAUCUAUGGAAUGAACAGCAAAGUUGCUGGUUAGAUUUGCUUCGUUUACUGAAUGAUACUCAAAGUGUGACAAUCCUGGUGACUACUAGGAGUGAAGUUGUCGCAUGCGACGUUCAAUCUGUCAAACCCCUUGUCCUUGGCACAUUAUCUGAAGGUCAUUGCUGGCUGUUGUUUCAACAUUACGCUUUUGGUGACCAAACUGUCAAUGAAGAAUCCAGUUUGGUUCAGGUUGGUAGAAAAAUUAUGAAAAAAUGUGGUGGCUUACCAUUGGCAGUUAAGUCGAUAGGUUGCCUCUUACAGUCCAAGAUGGAUAUGCAGACCUGGAUUGAAGUAUCAGAAAGUGAAUUUUGGGAAUAGUCGGAUGAUAAUGAAGAGAUCUUCUCUGCUCUCAGAUUGAGCUUUCAUCGACUACCAUCAAGGCUGAAACCUUGUUUCUUGCUGUGUGCUUUAUAUCCCAAAGGUCAGCUGUUUACAAAGGAUGGCAUGGUUCACUUGUGGAUUAUAUUGCUCAUGGCUACAUCCAACCUCCAAGAUGCAAAACACCAGAGAAAGUCGCUAGUGAGUACUUUGAUGAAUUGAAUAAAAGGUCAUUGAUUGAAGCAGAUUUGGUCCUCCAGAACUUUGUUGAGCCAGACAUGAGAUCAUUGGAUGAACCUUCUCAUGAAAAAAAACUAAGGCUUCUUCGGACCAGUCAGUUUUGUCACCUCAACGAUUUAGGUUGCAUGAUUUGACUUGGGACCUUGUAAAAUCUCUUUCCAGCGACUUGCUUUCUGUAACAUCUGUUGAUGAUGGUAGUCUUAACAUGGGAAAUAAAAUUUGGCAUUUAUUUC